rnacentral:tRNA from 1 species
UAAGAGGAAAAUCCGUCGACUUUAGAAAUCGUGAUG